rnacentral:rRNA from 1 species
GGAAUCUUAGACAAUGGGGGAAACCCUGAUCUAGCCAUGCCGCGUGUGUGAUGAAGGCCUUAGGGUCGUAAAGCACUUUCGCCAGAGAUGAUAAUGACAGUAUCUGGUAAAGAAACCCCGGCUAACUCCGUGCCAGCAGCCGCGGUAAUACGGAGGGGGUUAGCGUUGUUCGGAAUUACUGGGCGUAAAGCGCACGUAGGCGGAUUAGUAAGUUAGAGGUGAAAUCCCAGGGCUCAACCCUGGAACUGCCUUUAAUACUGCUAGUCUUGAGUUCGAGAGAGGUAAGUGGAAUUCCAAGUGUAGAGGUGAAAUUCGUAGAUAUUUGGAGGAACACCAGUGGCGAAGGCGGCUUACUGGCUCGAUACUGACGCUGAGGUGCGAAAGUGUGGGGAGCAAACAGGAUUAGAUACCCUGGUAGUCCAC